UGCGGGGUAGUUCAUUUGGAAGAAUGCUGGGCUCAUAACCCAGAGGUAGGGGGUUCGAGUCCCUCCCCCGCUACCA
rnacentral:tRNA from 1 species